AGAGUGAACGCUGGCAGUAGGCCUAACACAUGCAAGUCGAACGGCAGCACAGUGGUAGCAAUACCAUGGGUGGCGAGUGGCGGACGGGUGAGGAAUACAUCGGAAUCUACCUUUUCGUGGGGGAUAACGUAGGGAAACUUACGCUAAUACCGCAUACGCCCUUUGGGGGAAAGCCGGGGAUCGCAAGACCUGGCGCGGAUAGAUGAGCCGAUGUCGGAUUAGCUAGUUGGUGAGGUAAUGGCUCACCAAGGCGACGAUCCGUAGCUGGUCUGAGAGGAUGAUCAGCCACACUGGAACUGACGACACGGUCCAGACCUCCGACGGGAGGCAGCAGGUGGGAAUACUUGGACAAGUGGGCGCAAGCCUGAUCCAGCCAACUACCGGCGUAGGGGUCGAAAGGACGG
rnacentral:rRNA from 1 species